UGACUACUGUGUAUGGCUUACUUUCCUAGAAAAAGGCCAACUCCAUUAUUGGAGAUGAUGAGUGUGCGAACUGUGAAGUAUCUGAUCAGACUCUCAGUCAACAAACACCAAAAUUGUUCAGUUUAAUGAAAUUACAGAAGAAUCUUGCUUGAAUAUGUGAAUGGAACUAACUUUAUGAAGUAUUGGGCUGUAAAAGAAGGAAGGAAAGAAAGGUCUGAGUCUAGGUAGGUAUUAAUGGAGUUUGGAAUCAUCAACACUGCACUGCUCACACCUUUUGCUUUAUGGUUUUUAAAUUCGAUACAUGGAGUUUUAGGCUUUUUGUAUCAGUGAAGAUGCAUGAUCUAUGACCCAUCACGAAGUUUUUCCGACUUCUUGCUGUUGGUUUGGUGCCUUGUCAAUCAUUUUAUUGCCCUCUUUCAUCUGUAUAUUUUUUUCUUUCUUCUGAAAACUUUCUUUUCACUGUCAUUGAAAAGUGGUGCCUUUGUUCAUUUGCAAUUUUCCGGUCUUUUGCAAUGGCAGGUGAGUAAAUUAAAAUUUGAGUAACAAGUAAAAAUUUGUUUUACGGAUGACGUGACAAGUAUCGUGGUGUUGUUCGACAUGCGAAUUGAGAUAGGUAGGUAACUAAUAUUUUCGAUGGAUGAGCGGAAUCCAGGCCAGAUGUCGGAGAUCUUUGUCGGAGAGAAUAUUUAGUUUAGUGACGAUAUAGAUUUCGUAUCUACCUGAUUGAUUUGGAAGUCACGAUCGUGGAGAUAACUGUCUUAAUUAGUGGUGCGAU
rnacentral:lncRNA from 1 species